rnacentral:snRNA from 1 species
AGAUGUGAGGAUAAUUUCGAUAUGAUAUCUGUCACUCCAUAGAUGAUCUGGCUGGUUAGGCAGGUAUCCUCUUUCCUUCCACUCCACUUUGUGUACAUCCCUCCAAAAGCUUGGUGCUUGGUUUAAAAGGAUGACUUUCUCUGAUCCNGGUGGACUCUUCUCCAUGGUCAAGUGUAUGCCAGUAGCUGUGCUCCCCUACUGGAACCUGCAAACAAGCUCUCAAGGUCCAACUGCUGGUAUUUUAGGAGUGCAUCCCUGCACACAGCAAGAUUUUGUUCACAGUGGUAGGAAUGUACCCAACUUGCUUAG